rnacentral:rRNA from 1 species
UACGUAGGUGGCAAGCGUUAUCCGGAAUUAUUGGGCGUAAGGCGCGCGCAGGUGGUUUCUUAAGUCUGAUGUGAAAGCCCACGGCUCAACCGUGGAGGGUCAUUGGAAACUGGGAGACUUGAGUGCAGAAGAGGAAAGUGGAAUUCCAUGUGUAGCGGUGAAAUGCGUAGAGAUAUGGAGGAACACCAGUGGCGAAGGCGAGUCCCUGGACAACUCCUGACACUGAGGCACGAAAGCUAGGGGAGCAAACAGG